CCCGGUCCACCCACAGUGGAACCAGAAUUCUCCCCGUGCCAGCUCAGUGCCCAGAGAAGACUGAGAGGCGGCCCUGCCCUCUCAGAGUUCUAGGUGCAGCUGGGGAGACAGGUCAGCACACAAAGUCUGCUAUGAGACAGUGGCCUUCCCACAGAGUAGGCGACCCCAAAAGAGCAGGGGAUGGGACGGGGCAGGAGCACUUGGUCCUUUGGUUUGGGAGACACAAAUGGGGAUGAGGGCUGGGGUGCUCUAAGAAAGGGACACCCUCCCCUGGUGAAUAUGGGUCUCUGCGGGGAGGCAGCAACUACCUUUGUCUGGGGAGUUACCCUGGGCUAAACUGUCCCCCCACCACAAAUUCAUAGGAUAAAACCCUAACCCCCAAUAUGACUGUAUUCUGUGAUGCGGUUUUUAGGAUAUCAUAAGGUUGGGGUUCUAAUCUGAUAGGAGUCAUGGCCCUAUAAGAAGAGGAAAAGAAGGAGCUAUUUCUCUCUCUCUUUGUCCCCCCCCCACCCCCCACCCCGCCUCCCUUCCUCCCUCUGCCAUGUGAGCGCAGAGAAAAGGCAGAAUGUACAAGCCAGGAACAGAGCUCCCACCAGAACCUGACCAUGCCAGCACCCUGAUCUGAGACUUCCAGCUUCCAGAACUGGGCCAGAGGAGAGAAGAGGCUCUGUCCCUGGCUGUCCUUUGUACAAGGGAGAAAAUCAGCAACAGAGCUUAAUGGAUGUAAGAUCGGUCACUGGAAGCAGGACUAAUUAAGAUAAUUAUGAGGCCUAACGAAGAUAAGACAGAAGACAAGAACUACACUUUCCAGGACAAUUUGUGCUCUGACUAGGGGCCAUGAGUAUCUCAUACAAUAUGUCUAACACAGAGAUUCAGUAAAGUACCCCCAAAGAUCCUCCUAAAACGUAGACACACAAAACACAGCGCAAUUUACUCUAUGGAUACUUUAUGGACAAAUGCACUGGUGAAUGAGUUUUACACUUAUUCAUUUUAUGUUUUAGAUAUUGGCAGAUAUAGUGUAUGAACUCAAGGGACAGUCAAGCAAGAGUCUAGUGUUCUUACCAACAGUCUCUGGGCACUUGGAGAAACCAUUUUUAUCCCUUAUUAGAUUAUAUACACCCUGUCCCAGCAGGAGGCCUGGUGAUACGCGGGAUCCUUCAGACCUGUUACAAUCCCUCCCUCACCACUUCCUAGCUGGGAGACCUUGGGCAAGUUGAAUAUCUCUGAGCCUCCGUCUUACUUCUGUGCACGCAUGCAUUUCUCGACUUAUUCUAGGGCAAAGCACACAGAAGUCACACGAGGCAUAACUGACUGCAUCAGCAGGAGCUAGAAAUUAUGGAGCUGUUAGGAAAUGUAACUAGAUUAUACGUAUACCAUGUGAAAUCGUAACCGGGAGGAUUCUGAUCUGUAGAAGACCUAUGCUGUCAGGUUCAUGAGAAUCAGCUGGUUUCCAGUUUUCUCUUAAUUUUCUUUGACUGUGAUGUGUGUAUGUUUUUUCCCCUCCUUGUUUGUUUAUCUCAUCUGCUUGCAACUGCUAGCAGAUAACAGUAGCAGGCACCAUAAAUUUUAGAAAGAGAAAACUGAGCUGAAAUUUAAAAUU